rnacentral:lncRNA from 1 species
UGCUUAACGGUUGUCAUUGCCAGGUUAUUGUUGCAUGGUAACUUGAUAACAGGUUUGAGAUUACCCUUAGGGGCACACUGUAUGUCCCACUUAUUGCGAAGACAAAAAAACAGCGAAAACUUGCAUAAUGAAAUAGAAUUAACAAUGACAAUGUGUAAUCAUCCAUGCCAAAACUAUUUCAGAAAUACUUCGCAGCCAAAAUUUUUGUCGUACAGUUUGGCUAUCGUUGAGUGAUAUAUGCAGCCGAUUUUGCAAAAUCAAAUGAUUUUCUACAUAUAAAUAAAACUUUGGCUCGCAUUUUGCCGAC